UCGGAUGUGAAAGCCCGGGGCUUAACCCCGGGUCUGCAUUCGAUACGGGCAGACUAGAGUGUGGUAGGGGAGAUCGGAAUUCCUGGUGUAGCGGUGAAAUGCGCAGAUAUCAGGAGGAACACCGGUGGCGAAGGCGGAUCUCUGGGCCAUUACUGACGCUGAGGAGCGAAAGCGUGGGGAGCGAACAGGAUUAGAUACCCUGGUAGUCCACGCCGUAAACGUUGGGAACUAGGUGUUGGCGACAUUCCACGUCGUCGGUGCCGCAGCUAACGCAUUAAGUUCCCCGCCUGGGGAGUACGGCCGCAAGGCUAAAACUCAAAUGAAUUGACGG
rnacentral:rRNA from 1 species